GCCGUCAUAGUAUAGUGGUUAGUACACAUCGUUGUGGCCGAUGUAACCCCUGUUCGAUUCAGGGUGACGGCA